UGAGUUUGUUUGUGUCAAAGUCAGAGAGCCGUGUCUCUCUACAGUGAGAGGUUUUUGUACGGCGGCUCAAUGACUUUGUAUCACUGUGGUACACAUUCGGUGGAGGAACCAGACUGGAAGUUAACUUGGGUCGAGUCGUCCCCACCCUGACGGUGCUGCCCCCCUCCAGCGAGGAGCUGCAGCAGGGGAAGGCCACGCUCAUGUGCCUGGCCAACAAGGGCUUCCCCUCAGACUGGAGUCUGGCCUGGAAGGUGGACGGCAGCAGCAGCAGCAGCAGCAGCUGGGAGGAGAGCAGGAGUCUCGGGGUGCUGGAGAAGGACGGCCGCUACAGCUGGAGCAGCACCCUGAGGCUCCCUGCAGACCAGUGGAGGAAGGUGGGCUCUGUGACCUGUGAGGCCACCCAGGGCUCUCAGACUCCGCUCUCAGAGACACUGAGGAGAGACCAGUGUUCCCAGUCCUGACCUGACUCACUGGGACUCUGCUACUGGUUUUACUCUGCUACUGCUCUCAGUCUGCACUCCCUCUCUCUGGUUGUCUCUUUCUCUCAUUACACGUUUCAAAAUUAAUGUUUUCUUGCUUGUUGUAGUGUUGAUGGUUUAAAUAGUUCAAAUCAAUAAAAGUGGCAUCAAAUAGUG